rnacentral:rRNA from 1 species
AUUGAACGCUGGCGGCAGGCCUAACACAUGCAAGUCGAGCGAGCGGCGGACGGGUGAGUAAUGUCUGGGAAACUGCCCGAUGUAGGGGGGUAACUACUGGAAACGGUAGCUAAUACCGCAUUUGAUCAGACGUGCCCAGAUGGGAUUAGCUAGUAGGUGGGGGAACGGCUCACCAAGGCGACGAGCCCUAGCUGGUCUGAGAGGAGGACCAGGCACACUGGAAAGGAGACACGGUCCAUACUCCUACGUGAGGCAGCAGUGGGGAAUAUUGCACAAGGGGCGCAAGACUGAGGCAGCCAUGCCGCGUGUGUGAAGAAGGCCUUCGGGUUGUAAAGCACUUGCAGCGAGGAGGCGUUACUCGCAGAAGAAGCACCGGCUAACUCCGUGCCAGCAGCCGCGGUAAUAC